UACGAAGGUGGCUAGCGUUAUUCGGAAUUACUGGGCGUAAAGCGCACGUAGGCGGCGCGCAUAGUCAGGUGUGAAAUCCCGGGGCUUAACCCCGGAAUUGCGCUUGAAACUGGCGUGCUGGAGUUCGGUAGAGGGUGGUGGAAUUCCCAGUGUAGAGGUGAAAUUCGUAGAUACUGGGAGGAACACCGGUGGCGAAGGCGGCCACCUGGACCGAUACUGACGCUGAGGUGCGAAAGCGUGGGGAGCAAACGGG
rnacentral:rRNA from 1 species